GCCGCGUAGUUAGGUUGCAGUGCACUAGAGGGCAGUCUGAAGAGGUGAAAGGUCACGUUAUGUAAGCGAUGGUGACAGACGCGCGGGCCUCCAGCGGUGAACUUAAAAGUGCGGGACAGCGGGGAACCGAGAGGCCUUGAAAGCUCAAGGAGGGAGGAAGACAGGAAGACGUGUGCAUCUUGGCCUCUAGGAUGAACUCGUCACAUUGGCUUCCUGGCAAGUACUCAACUGUGCUUGUUGGAGGAGGAACUAGGGGCUUCCGUGUCGUUGAGGAUGGCUGUGGCACUUUUCAGCACACCUGGUCUUUGUUGUGUGACUUCUUGGCUCCAGGAAUCAAGAAAAGAAUUGAAGACACAGAUUUGUGAUUGCCCAAGCCUGAGGGGAAGGGAAAAUGGAGAAAGCUUGCUUACUACAAGGUUUUGCUUUGUUCUGCAGUUCUAGGGAACAACCCAGGGACAUUAAAAAUUGAGGUACAUUCUUAGCACUUUUUAAAAUUUUGAGACAGGAAUCUGGGCACAGUGGUGCAUGUCUAUAAUCCAAGCACUUGGAAGGCCGAGGCAGUGGGACUGCUGUGAACUCCCUAGGCUACAUAGGGAGUUCAAGGCCAGCCUAGAGUAUGAUUUACAAGUGCUUUUUCUUUUUUGGGGGAUCGAACUCAAAACCUUGCGCUUACCAGGCAGGUGCUUAGGCCACUGGGCUAAAUCCCUGGCCCCAGCCUAGACUAUAAAGUGAGGCCCUGACCAAAAAUUCUUUGAGAUAGGGUCUCAUUAAGUCUCCCAGGCAGGACUUCAGCAUGGUGACCCUCCUGCCUAUUUCCUGAAUAGCUAGGAUAAAAGGCAUGGGCCAUCAUUCCAGGCUUGUAUAAGGUUUUUGUGUGGUGUAAUGACAAAGUUCAGAGCUAUACAGUGGUGAUGACUACAUCAUGUACUUAGUAUCACUCAACUGUGCACUUCAGUUUAACAUGAAGCUGGGUGCAGUGGCCCAUGCCUGUAAUCCCAGCACUAGGGAGCCUGAGGCAGGAGGGUUGCAAUGAAUUUAAGGCCAGCCUGGAUUAUGUAGAGACCCUGUCUCAAAAAACCUGAAAGAAAGUUUUAAAUGGGUAUCUUACAUGUAUUUUACCACAAUUUCAAAAAGUAAAAUAACUCAUGAGUCUGUCUCAAGCACCUGGUUGCACUCUGAAUAAAGCAGGACUCAAAGGAGCUGCCAACCCCCAAGAGAGUCUCCAAGCCUUCAAGUGCAGAGCGCUUUGCAGUGGACAGCACAGGUGCUUGGCCACCCAGCCCUACCCACAGCCUCCGAGAAUGAAGAACUCAGAGACCAACAGGACAUAUUUCAAAUAGUUUAAUUUUAAAAAUAUUCUAUUCAGUGCUAAAAUAAGUCUUCACUUGCUGUUGCCCAUUUCCAUUUUCUUAAACUUCUUUUAAACAAAAAAUAAAAUCACAAAGUUCAAUUAA